UCCGGCUCGGGUUCUCAGGAGCCCGCCAGUGUGCACAGCUCAGAGGCCUGUUUAAUCCAGGUUGGUAUCUGGAGGCUCCGUGAACGCAGUGAUUUUUACCUUUGGCUCAGUGUGGGCGCAGAGAGAACCUGGUCCUGACAGCUUCAAGCCCAUCAGCUGGCUCACAUCGCACACUCUGCUGUGCUUGUCUUUACUGGGUUGCGUGUCACGGGCACCCAGCCCUGUCCAAGGCCCUGGCUUCACAGUGGCAGCCCUGCAUUUGCUCCCCACCUCCUUCCAGUGGGCCUUCCCCGGCAGGGAGAAGAGAGCUGGCCGUGACAGAUUGUAGAUACAAAGCUGAACGAGGCCCGUGUGACUGACCUGGAAGCUCCCAGGAGCCUGCUCUGGGGUAAUGGCAUGUCAGGGAAUUUUAAGGGAAGGCCAGGGGAUACUUGGAACUGCGGAGCUUAUGCCAACUGUUUGUCUCCUUGUUGACCACCCUGGCCAUGUGUUACAUAAACUGACCCCAAAGCGCAAGCAUUAGAAAACCUGUGUUUAAGGUCGAGUGUCUGCUGUGUUACUGAGAAGUAUCUGGGCACCCCUUUCUGCCUUCAGACCUGACGGCAUGGGUGGUUCCCUGUGUAUCUGUGAGGGGCAAAAUUGUGACGUGAUUCUCGGCAAGUGCAGGCAAACACUGCCAGCCGGCAAGUGCCAUCCCCUCCGCCC
ensembl:lncRNA